rnacentral:rRNA from 1 species
UGAGGAAUAUUGGGCAAUGCCCGCAAGGGUGACCCAGCAACGCCGCGUGGAGGAUGAAUGUCGUAAGAUUGUAAACUCCCGUUAGAGGGGAAGAAUAGUACCGGUUGGACCGGUAUAUGACUGUACCCUCAGAGAAAGCCCCGGCUAACUACGUGCCAGCAGCCGCGGUAAUACGUAGGGGGCAAGCGUUGUCCGGAUUUACUGGGUGUAAAGGGCGCGCAGGCGGGAUAAAAAGUCAGUGGUGAAAUCCUACAGCUUAACUGUAGAACUGCCUUUGAUACUUUUAUUCUUGAGUUCGGGAGAGAGAGACGGAAUUCCAGGUGUAGUGGUGAAAUACGUAGGUAUCUGGAAGAACACCAGUUGCGAAGGCGGUCUCUUGGUCCGACACUGACGCUGAGGCGCGAAAGCGUGGGGAGCAAACA